UCGGGAAUUUUGGGCAAUGGGCGAAAGCCUGACCCAGCAACGCCGCGUGAAGGAUGAAGUAUUUCGGUAUGUAAACUUCGAAAGAAUAGGAAGAAUAAAUGACGGUACUAUUUAUAAGGUCCGGCUAACUACGUGCCAGCAGCCGCGGUAAUACGUAGGGACCAAGCGUUGUUCGGAUUUACUGGGCGUAAAGGGCGCGUAGGCGGCAUGACAAGUCACUUGUGAAAUCUCUGGGCUUAACCCAGAACGGCCAAGUGAUACUGUCGCGCUAGAGUGCAGAAGGGGCAAUCGGAAUUCUUGGUGUAGCGGUGAAAUGCGUAGAUAUCAAGAGGAACACCUGAGGUGAAGACGGGUUGCUGGGCUGACACUGACGCUGAGGCGCGAAAGCCAGGGGAGCAAACGGGGAUUAGAUACCCAGGUAGUCCUGAGCGGGCUGGCAAGGCGCAU
rnacentral:rRNA from 1 species